AAAUUGAAGAGUUUGAUCAUGGCUCAGAUUGAACGCUGGCGGCAGGCCUAACACAUGCAAGUCGAACGGUAACAGGAAACAGCUUGCUGUUUCGCUGACGAGUGGCGGACGGGUGAGUAAUGUCUGGGAAACUGCCUGAUGGAGGGGGAUAACUACUGGAAACGGUAGCUAAUACCGCAUAACGUCGCAAGACCAAAGAGGGGGACCCUCGGGCCUCUUGCCAUCGGAUGUGCCCAGAUGGGAUUAGCUUGUUGGUGGGGUAACGGCUCACCAAGGCGACGAUCCCUAGCUGGUCUGAGAGGAUGACCAGCCACACUGGAACUGAGACACGGUCCAGACUCCUACGGGAGGCAGCAGUGGGGAAUAUUGCACAAUGGGCGCAAGCCUGAUGCAG
rnacentral:rRNA from 1 species